UGGAGAUUGGACUGAAGGAGCGCCCCCAGGGCAGAGGGCUUGUCCACAGACACUUUGUUUCUGUUUUUCUUUUAGGUUUCCGGCAUCUACAGUGUUUUUGAUCGUCCAAAGACUUUCUACGGGCAGUCUGUGAUGAAGAGGAGGACCAGGUCACUGCAGGAGAUCUGGGGCCCAUAUAAACAGAUUAAGCAGGUCAUCUUGGACAAAAAACUCUGUGAUAUCUGCCUUUAACUGGACAUACACUGUUGCUGGAAGCUGCUUUCUACUUUUUCUUAAAUAAUGCUGCAGCAGUGCACAAUGAACUGAACUACCUUCAUUUCUCACGUCCUUAUGGCCUUUUGGAGUCGGAAUGCCAACCUAAGAUUGUGUCAAUUAAUGCAUAUUCAAGACUCCACAGUUAUUACUAAUGGAAGGUCACUGAGGAAGAAGUCAAAUCCUGAAUAAAUGAAAAUGAAGCCAUCUCAUGUUGAAGAAUCAAGAGUGCUUCUGAAAUUAAUGAAAACAGGUGCAGAACCAUGAAAAAGGCUGCCCACAGCCAUGGUACAAAGCAGAAAACACUCUGGGAGCAGCAUGGUGCAAUUUAAAAGCUAACGCAACAGAACUUCAGAUGGCGAUGAGGAGGUGUACAGGAGUGAGAUAGAUCGGCUGAUUGAGUAGUGUCACAACAACAACCUCGCACUCAAUGUCAGCAGGACCAAGGAGUUGAUUGUGGACUUCAGGAAGGAGAAGUUGGGAGAAAACACACCAGUCCUCAGGGGUCAACGGUGGAAAGGGCGAGCAGCUUCAAGCUCCUGGAUGUCAACAUCUCAGAGGAUCUAUCCUGGGCCCAAUACAUUGAUGCAAUCAUGGAGAAGGCACGCCAAUGGCUCUACUUCAUUAGGAGUUUGAGGAAGUUUGGUAUGUCACCAAAGACUACUGCAAAUUUCUGUAAAUGUACAGUGGAGAGUAUUCUGACUGGUUGAAUCACAGCCUGGUAUAGAUGCUCCAAUGUGCAGGAUUGAGAGAGGCUGCAGAAAGUUGUAGACUCAGCCAGCUCCAUCACGGGCACAACCCUCCCCACUAUGGAAGAUAUCUUCAUGAGCCGGUACCUCAAGAAGGCGGCAACCAUCAUUAAGAACCCUAGCCACCCAAGACAUGCCCUCUUCACGUUACUACCAUCAGGGAGGAGGUACAGGAGCCAGAAGACCCACACUCAACGGCUUAGGAACAGCUUCUUCCCCUCCACCAUCAGAUUUCUGAACGGUCCAUGAACCCAUGAA